UAAUUUAAUUUAAUGCAAACUUAUUCUGUGAAAGGCCUUAGCCAAAGUAGUAUUGCAAGUUUCAUCGCGAUAUUGGGCAGUUAUCAAUAAAAUGAGAUUUAUUAUAUAAACGUCCAAAGCGACCUUCUUUAUAAACAUGUACACGCUAGCGAUGGACGCGAUGAAGUUUCCCAAGAGGGAAACUUUCUAUCGAGAACGGCUGUCUCGAGCUGUCAGGACAAUUGAUCCAGUUCCUGCUAUGCAGUAAAACUUGAGCGGAGUUUCUACUGGCUUUAUAGUUGAUUUAACAAUAAUCUUCAUGGUCUCGUUCUCGAUACACAGAAUAUCAUUUAACUUGCGUAUUAGUUGACUUACAAGCGAUCUGU